rnacentral:rRNA from 1 species
AUGGACGAACAAGUGGAAGUCUCCAAACAAAUCCGGAAUGAGUUUUCUUCUCAGUUCAAGCAUUCAUCAUGUUCUGUUCAAUAUGCACAGGUCACAGGUGUUAAAACUGAUCUAUCUCAAAUUGGCUUUGACGUUGAAGCAAUUCAACAGAUGGUAGCUGGACUGGAAGAGAAGAUUGAGUUGCUUGACAAUAAACAGGAUGCGGCUAAUGCUGGUAUCUCUGCCGAAUGGCAGGAGGAAGCGGAUGAAAAACUCAAGCUCUUGGACCUGGAUCAUACUGAAAAGAAGCCGGUGAAGUUAGAGGCAAUACAUGGAAUGGAAUGGUUACAUUUUGGUGUUUGGUUGAAGAGACGAAACAUAAUGAAUUUGGUUCGCUUUGGCCAGUCUUCGUUGAACAAUGCUGCUCGCUUGCUAGUCUUCGUCGAACAAUACCACACCAGGCUCAUCUUCGCAGCUCCCUGCGUGGCGGUACCAGCAGAUCAGGUAGCUGCCAGCAGCAAGGCAACAGGUCAGUCGCCGUCCCCAACAAAUCAGCCACCUACUCAUCGGCAAGUCAGGCCACCGCCGGCCACCGGCAGAUCAGGUCGCCGCCGCGCGCCCACCGGCAGAUCAGGCCGCCGUCGCUCCCCGAAAGAUCUAGUCGUCGCCAGAAAUUUGGAGCCAACUCCCUGCAGGCUAGGCCACCAUAUAGGGUGUGGUCGACGCCAGCAACCAUUGGCCCCUGUCGGUUGCUACCCAAUCCGCCGCCCAGAUGGGAGCGCUGUGGCUAUGAGAGAGCAGAGGGAGAGACGGCAGAGACGAGGCGGAGGCGGCCCUGAGAGACGAGAGGACCAGUUCCGCGCGAUUCCUCCGAUUUGGAGGUAUCGGCGCGUUCCGCAUAUCACCCGAAUAUUCGCUCGGUGGGAACCACUUGAUUCUCGUUCCAGCUAUGGUCUGGAGUUGUUUCUGGAGAGCAACAAGGAAGUCAAGGCACUCGACUCCAGGCCUAAGUCCAACGUGCAGAACGACACCAAAAAACCAAUGAAGGCGUUCGACGUGCCUGUGAAGAGCGCCGCGAAAGUGGUGGCGUCCACUUUGUAUCACGAGGUGGAGAAGAAGUCAUUUGCUUUUAGCCAUUGUUGGGUCAUAUUGAAUGGCAAGCCGAAGUGGAACCAAGUUGUGGCUGACCUCAAGUCCGGAAAGAAUAGGAAUGAUGGCUCAAUCUUCAACCAAUCAAUUGGGUUGGACGAUGAAGAGGACAAUGCUGCCGUGACGAAUGGAAAAUCCAUCGUGCCAAAGGACAACUGUGAAGUCAUGGGAAACAAGUGGGAGAAGGCACGUGCCGCCCGUGAUGCCACGGCUACCAAAAUGUCAUCCACAUGGACGAGCAUUUUUUCAGUGAGGGGGAACAAGCAGGAGAGGUACAAGCUCAUGUUAGAUGCGCAAAAGGAAAUGAUGGAGUGGGACUGGAAGAGGGCGGAGAAGAAGCUGGGAAUUGAGAGGGAGAAGAUCGAGUUGGAGAAGCGACAAGCGGCGAUCAAAUGGGAGCUCGAGAAGGCCAAUACAUUUGGCGACAUAGAGCCUGAGAAGGAGAGGUUGCAACUCUCACGCAACGCGGAAGAUGCGAGGAUCAUGCUGGCGGACGAAACCCCUCUUGGAUGA